UAUGUGAAAUUGAUUGUCAAGUCCGGCUAGUGUUUGGAAAUAUUUAAACCCAAACUAUAUGGUAGUUCACUCAUCUAAGAUUAUAUUUGGCAAAAUAUAGAUUCAAUAAUUUUGAUGUUUUCAGCAUUUGUUUUUGGAUGUAGGUGCUGGCUUUUGAACUGCACUUGCUUGCCACAAAGCAUCAGAUGUUUCAUCUUAUUCCAACACCUCAGGGAGCUUUUAUGUACUCAAUGACAUAUUCCGUCUCAACGUGCUCAUUACAAAGAUUCUAGGAUACACUUGGAGGAAUGAUAGCUCGGCCUUAUCAUCUGGUGCCCUCAAGAGUACUGGGAAGAAUGCCGACAAACUAAAAAAAUGGAGAGACUUUAAC